CUUUCCCAGAGGAUGUGCUGAGUCCAGCAGAGCUGGGAGCCAAGGAUCCUUUUGUGGCUGAACUCUUGGAGCCCUUUAUUUCAGAACAAGACAUGGAAGUCCUUGUACACCGUCCAGUAUCUCCGUACAGAACAGACACCCAAUCUGAAUACACAGAUUCACGUCAUCAGGUCAAACAUGUCCAUAGCGUUUGAUAUUUAGACUUUCAAACUAUAAGACAGGCAUACAGGCAAUUGUGAAAUUGUGCAUCGUGCAGUUUUUUCCAGCAUUCCUACAAGAUGGAAUUCUCUGUCUGAGAAAUCAUCGCUUGCGCAGUGGGAACGGUGCAGGGGGCACAUGUGUUGCAAUACAAAAUGCCAUUGUACUAUAAGGAAUGCAGAAAACCCCUGUAGAAAACUUAAUCUGAGGGAGAAGAGUGAAAUGUCAGAUAGUGACCUAUAAAGGCUGGAAUGAAUUUAUGAAAUAUCAUCUAGUCACUCACUGUAAAACAUUAUGUGCCGUUUGUUCUGACAGCAAAGCAGUUCUUUCAGUCACUGAAGAAUUCACAUUCCCAGCCAGGAAGACAGAUGAGUACU